ensembl:lncRNA
CAGGAGUCUCUGGAUAAAGACCAGCUUCAGGAGCAGGGCUAGGAGACAGAGGAUUUCUGCUCAGUGAUAAAACAUGGUGAGUAGAUUUUUGUGAUCUGCCUCGUUUGCUCUGUGCAAUGGCAUUUCUUUUCCUCCGACACAGUGACUCUGAGUAUUAUUUUGGAGUGACUGCUUGUUUUUGAAGUAUUGCUUUUUACUUUUUCCAUACAUAUGGCAAGUCUGUGCCUGCAUUUAUAAAAAUGCACAUCCUAUCUCCUUUUAAAGCAAUAAAUUACUGAGCACAGCCAAAGCUGUCAGUGUUAACACUUUGCUGUCUGGUACCAAAAGGCUGCUGGUCAGGUCAAGAAAAAAAAAGCCUUGUUUUCUUCUCAGGUAUGCAGUGGAAAUUUCUGCUCUGCUGCCUUCUCUUAGCAGUACAGCGAUGAUCCAAAAGCUCCCUGCGCAGGAGUUACAGCUGCCCUUUUACAUGAUGUAAUUGGAAUUACAUGAUGUAAUUUCAAGCCAGUUAUGUUUCUUUCAGCCUCAGGUACAGAAGAAAACUGAGACAGGGGUGCAGAGGUUUUGUCAGAGAAAGAGCCUCCUUUUGUCAUGGGCUCAGCCUCCUUCUGCCCUGCCACACACCCCGUGCGUGGCUGGGGAUGCUGUGGGUGCCCCACACGGGGCAGGGAUGCUUGGGAUGGGGUCAGUGGGGAUGCUGUGAGCAUCCCAGAUGGGGCUGGGGAAGCACUGGGUGUUGCUGUGCUGUCAGGGAUCCCUCCUGUCAGCACACAGCAGGAUAGUGAGCUAGGAGUAGAAACGUGGUUAAUUUUACUAUGAAAAAAUCCUGAGCUCCACAAAACAGUUGUCAGGGCUUAAAAGGAGGUUGACUUCCUAUAGCACAUUGCUAAUAAGAUUAAGCAUUUAACUACACAUCUUUCUAGUAUUCUGCUUGGGAGUGUAAGAUUUUACUUUGUGUGCUCAAUGGAAUGAGGAUUGAAUUAAAACACACCAAUAUGCUUUUUGCUGGUUUUUCAUGAGAAAGCCAUUGCCUGACCUGAAUGUACAUGCAAACAAUUGGGCAUCCUGGGUUACCGAGAGAGACAAAUGAUUAAGGGGAAUGAUAAGAUACAGCCACUAAGGAUGAUGAGAGGAGUACUCCUAAGGAGAGGCAUGAUCUCAAUGCAGGUUUGUGUGUCACACAGGCGCCUUUAAAAAUAAACAUUCUGCUGCUUCCUGAAUCACGACUGUCCCUGAUUACAUCCUCCAUCCUUUCCACCCUGUUCUUUUCUGCUUUCUAAUGGAGAUGAGAUGGUAGCAGAGUAAUCAGUUUAUUGGAGAAGAUGAGCCCUGCUUUAAAAUCAUCUUUGCUUUUUACCAGAAGAACUGAUACGUUUAUUUGCUUGCUAGAAACAGUGUUAACAAUAACUGCAGUGAGAAUAUCACUACCCUCUGGCAAGGAAGCCGUAUUCUGCUUCGCAAUUAAAAAUCAAAUUAACAGAAUGGAAUAUAUGUUCGUGAUUAUUAGUAAGUAUUCCCAUUAUUCACUUUCAUCUUCUCAGCUAGAGAGUUAUAUUUUUCCCUGUAAAUAAACAGUCUUAUUCCAAAAAUCUCCCUCCACUACACCCUUUACUGGGAGCACCAGCUGUUCCUUAUGCACUGCUAAUUGAUUAGAUACUAAAGAUUAAAAUUAGUGUUGUUCACUGACUUUAAAAGUAGCUGUGGCUUUCACCACCUCAUGCUUGCUUGUUUUGUGCAUUUUAGAACUCCUAAUUGGUGGCCAGUAAAAAUCCUCCUGAGGUUAAGAAUCAGGAGAGCCUCCCAGAGUGCUCUGUUCUUUCCCCCUUUCCCAUUACAUCAUUUAUCAAGAAAUAUUUUUAAAAAAUUUUAAUCUUAAAAGGUAUGGCUCUGAAUCUUAAUGCAUGUCCAUAUACCCAAACCAGAGAGAUGCUUACAGGAAAUAUAAUUAUGCUACCAUUUCUGAUUAAAAAGCAGGGUAACAUUUUCAAAGGUACCUCUGAUACUCAGCAUCUUAAGUAUGAUUGGGAUGAAGCCACUUUUGGAAAAGGGAUUUUGGACUCACUCCAAACGUGUAUCUGAAAACAUAAAAGCAGUACAAAGAGAUGUUUUUCCUUAUUUUUGAAUUAAAAAGCCUGAGAUACUAUUCAGUGUUUAUCAACUUUUUAUUUAAUAAAAGGAAAAUGCUUGGAGGCAGGUGAAAUUCCGGUGCCAAGUGAUAUGCAGAACUCUGCUUAGCAAGAGGCAGCAUGGCAUCACAAUCUGCUAAUUGUAAGAGUAAUCUAAAUGUAAAGAAAGGACCCUCCUAUCUCCCCUUCAAAAUCACUACAUUCUGAAUUUAACCUAUUUCUAUCUCCAAGAGAGAUGAUUAUAUAUAAAUUACACAUCAAACAACCAAGUAAGAGAAGUCCAAGCUGGAUAGCUGGUAAGAUUUUGAAAUAAAUGAACCUCAAUUACAUUUUUUCCUACUUGAGCAAAAUUAUUUUGAGCCAAACUUGCCAAAGCUGGAGACUUUAUCUAAAUUUCCUCUUUGUAAUAGUAUUAUUUCUAUCCAUACAACCUCACUGAAACAGUUGCCUCUAUUUCCCAGUAGGAUGGUAUUCCUAGAAUUACAUACAAGAGGACUGAUAUUUUACCUUUUCCUUGAAGAUAGCCUAAACAAACCUUUCUGCUGAGUUAUGAACUAGAAAGAUGCAACAACUUUGACCCAGCCAAAAACCCAGAGUAAGGCUCUCUCACAUUCUCCCACAGAGGGAAACUUGUAGUUGGCUGGCAGAAAGUGCUGGGGCCAUGGGCAGAGGCAAAUGUGACCCUUCUCUUUGACUGACAUGACAGAAGCAACAUCUGCACAGUUUAAAUCCUGCCUCCACCCAUUUUCCUAAUGAAUAUCUGGCUCCAUUGCACCCCUCUUUGGUCCUUGUAUGUUGGCCUGGACUUAGGGAUGAUUUAGGCCAUCUGAAUAUGGCUCUUAUUAGCCAGAACAGUUACCU